rnacentral:rRNA from 1 species
GAUAAACGCUGGCGGCGUGCAUGAGACAUGCAAGUCGAACGAAGGAUCGGGCUUGCUCGAUCCUUAGUGGCGGACGGCUGAGUAACGCGUAGGUGACCUACCCCGAAGUGGGGAAUAACUGCCCGAAAGGGUGGCUAAUACCGCAUGUGGUCGCACGUUCAUUCGUGCGAGUAAAGCCGCAAGGCGCUUCGGGAGGGGCCUGCGUCCGAUUAGCUCGUUGGUGGGGUAAUGGCCUACCAAGGCGACGAUCGGUAGGUGGUCUGAGAGGACGAUCACCCAGACUGGGACUGAGACACGGCCCAGACUCCUACGGGAGGCAGCAGUCGGGAAUUUUGCUCAAUGGGGGAAACCCUGAAGCAGCAACGCCGCGUGAGGGAUGAAUGCCUUCGGGUUGUAAACCUCUUUCAGCAGGGACGAAGCGCAAGUGACGGUACCUGCAGAAGAAGCACCGGCCAACUACGUGCCAGCAGCCGCCGUAACAC